UCGGCAUGAAGUACGCUCUGGUUCUGUUUGUUCAAAUCGAACUAAAACGAGUACGAUGAAAGCGUCAAGUCUUUGGGGAAGACUAACAGAAGUGAAACCAGUGUGUCUCAUCGAUUUGUCCGUCAACUUGUUCAGCUGUGGAAGACAUUCGCGGGUAGACGUUUCCUCGACAUGUAUGAAACCCUGUUUCGGAGAUGACGACAAGUAACAUUUAAAUCUAGCGUCUCGUGGCUGUAAUGGUGCGGUGAGGCAUCCUCGGCGCUAGAGGCAACAAUGGCGCCGGGGAAGCAGCACUAGGUGCGUUACUGGGCAGCGGCGCGGGUUCCGAGAGAGACGGCAAAAUUCCAGUGGCGGCGGAGUCCCCGUGAGAGAGACAGCAAAAUUCCAGUGGCAGCGGCGUCCCCGCAGCGGAGGCGAUGGAGGUCGACGAUGGAGGCGACGGACACGGCGUGCAGGUGCCCCCCAUGGGGCCCUGCCUGCCGCCGGAGAACGCCGACCACUCCUGGAUAGACAUAGAGGCGAUGGCGAAGUGGCCGUCGCGCGAGGUGCGUAACCGGCGCGUGCUGCCGGACAUGGGCACCGAGGGCGUGUGGGUGCCGUCGCCGCCCCGGAGGGUUCACCCGGACUCGUUGCCCACCAUUCCA